CAAACUGGGAUUAGAUACCCCACUAUGCCUAGCCCUAAACCCAAAUAGUUACAUAACAAAACUAUUCGCCAGAGUACUACUCGCAACUGCCUAAAACUCAAAGGACUUGGCGGUGCUUCACAUCCACCUAGAGGAGCCUGUUCUAUAAUCGAUAAACCCCGAUAGACCUUACCAACCCUUGCCAAUUCAGCCUAUAUACCGCCAUCUUCAGCAAACCCUAAAAAGGAACAAUAGUAAGCACAAUCAUAGCACAUAAAAACGUUAGGUCAAGGUGUAGCUUAUGGGUUGGAAAGAAAUGGGCUACAUUUUCUACAUAAGAAUAUCCACCACACGAAAGUUUUUAUGAAACUAAAAACCAAAGGAGGAUUUAGCAGUAAAUCAAGAAUAGAGUGCUUGAUUGAAUAAGGCCAUGAAGCACGCACACACCGCCCGUCACCCUC
rnacentral:rRNA from 1 species